rnacentral:rRNA from 1 species
UACGAAGGGGGGCUAGCGUUGCUCGGAAUUACUGGGCGUAAAGGGAGCGUAGGUGGACUGUUUAGUCAGAGGUGAAAGCCCCAGGGCUCAACCUUGGAAUUGCCUUUGAUACUGGCAGUCUUGAGUACGGAAGAGGUAUGUGGAACUCCGAGUGUAGAGGUGAAAUUCGUAGAUAUUCGGAAGAACACCAGUGGCGAAGGCGACAUACUGGUCCGUUACUGACACUGAGGCUCGAAAGCGUGGGGAGCAAACAGGG